GAUGAACGCUGGCGGCGUGCCUAAUACAUGCGAGUCGAGCGAACGGACGAGAAGCUUGCUUCUCUGAUGUUAGCGGCGGACGGGUGAGUAACACGUGGAUAACCUACCUAUAAGACUGGGAUAACUUCGGGAAACCGGAGCUAAUACCGGAUGAUAUUUUGAACCGCAUGGUUCAAAAGUGAAAGACGGUCUUGCUGUCACUUAUAGAUGGAUCCGCGCUGCAUUAGCUAGUUGGUAAGGUAACGACUUACCAAGGCAACGAUGCAUAGCCGACCUGAGAGGGUGAUCGGCCACACUGGAACUGAGACACGGUCCAGACUCCUACGGGAGGCAGCAGUAGGGAAUCUUCCGCAAUGGGCGAAAGCCUGACGGAGCAACGCCGCGUGAGUGAUGAAGGUCUUCGGAUCGUAAAACUCUGUUAUUAGGGAAGAACAUAUGUGUAAGUAACUGUGCACAUCUUGACGGUACCUAAACAGAAAGCCACGGCUAACUACGUG
rnacentral:rRNA from 1 species